rnacentral:rRNA from 1 species
UACGUAGGGGGCAAGCGUUAUCCGGAUUUACUGGGUGUAAAGGGAGCGUAGGCGGCUUAGUAAGUCAGAAGUGAAAGCCCGCAGCUCAACUGCGGGACUGCUUUUGAAACUGCCAAGCUAGAGUGUCGGAGAGGUAAGUGGAAUUCCUAGUGUAGCGGUGAAAUGCGUAGAUAUAUGGAAGAACACCAGUGGCGAAGGCGGCCGCCUGGCCUGUUAACUGACGCUGAGGCACGAAAGCGUGGGUAUCGAACAGG